GACGAACGCUGGCGGCGUGCCUAAUACAUGCAAGUUGAGCGAUGAAGAUUGGUGCUUGCACCAAUUUGAAGAGCAGCGAACGGGUGAGUAACGCGUGGGGAAUCUGCCUUUGAGCGGGGGACAACAUUUGGAAACGAAUGCUAAUACCGCAUAACAACUUUAAACAUAAGUUUUAAGUUUGAAAGAUGCAAUUGCAUCACUCAAAGAUGAUCCCGCGUUGUAUUAGCUAGUUGGUGAGGAAAAGGCUCACCAAGGCGAUGAUACAUAGCCGACCUGAGAGGGUGAUCGGCCACAUUGGGACUGAGACACGGCCCAAACUCCUACGGGAGGCAGCAGUAGGGAAUCUUCGGCAAUGGACGAAAGUCUGACCGAGCAACGCCGCGUGAGUGAAGAAGGUUUUCGGAUCGUAAAACUCUGUUGGUAGAGAAGAACGUUGGUGAGAGUGGAAAGCUCAUCAAGUGACGGUAACUACCCAGAAAGGGACGGCUAACUACGUG
rnacentral:rRNA from 1 species